GACGAACGCUGGCGGCGUGCUUAACACAUGCAAGUCGAACGGAAAGGCCCUGCUCUUGUGGGGUGCUCGAGUGGCUAACGGGUGAGUAACACGUGAGUAACCUGCCCUUGACUUUGGGAUAACUUCACGAAACUGGGGCUAAUACCGGAUAGGAGCUCCUGCUGCAUGGUGUGGGUUGGAAAGUUUCGGCGGUUGUGGAUGGACUCGCGGCUUAUCAGCUUGUUGGUGGGGUAGUGGCUUACCAAGGCUUUGACGGGUAGCCGGCCUGAGAGGGUGACCGGCCACAUUGGGACUGAGAUACGGCCCAGAAGCGUACGGGAGGCAGCAGUGGGGAAUAUUGCACAAUGGGCGGAAGCCUGAUGCGGCAACGCCGCGUGCGGGAUAACGGCCUUCGGGUUGUAAACCGCUUUCGCCUGUGACGAAGCGUGAGUGACGGUAAUGGGUAAAGAAGCACCGGCUAACUACGUG
rnacentral:rRNA from 1 species